rnacentral:rRNA from 1 species
UACGGAGGGGGCAAGCGUUGCUCGGAUUUAUUGGGCGUAAAGGGCGCGUAGGCGGCUCUGCACGUUCGUUGUGAAAUCGCCCGGCUCAACUGGGCGGGGUCAGCGGAUACGGCAGAGCUUGAGCAAGCUAGGGGGGCAAUGGAAUUCCCGGUGUAGUGGUGGAAUGCGUAGAGAUCGGCAGGAACACCCCAGGGGGGAAACCAGUCGACUGGGCAUCUACUGACGCUGAGGUGCGAGAGCGUGGGGAGCGAACCGG